GGCACAUAUUGGGCGAUCACCCACAAAGGUUGAACUUGAUCUUUGCAAGGUUGAUUCCUUCAAAAAGAUUCUAAAAUCUUCACCUCUGCCGCUAAUCCAAUUAAGAUCAUAUCAACUUUCUAAUAAGGGCAGAUACAAUUACUAGUGGAUCUGAACCAAUACCAAUACUAGUGGAUCUGAACCAAUACCAAUACCAUCACCAUCUCAAUAUUGCGUAUGUUUUCAGCUUUAUCACAGAUUCACAAUCAAAUUCAUUUCAAUCUGAUUCUCCACAGAAAGAUACCAAGAGAACCACUAAACUUUCAUGUUUUCUGAAAAACUAACAGCAGACUCCAUUUUUGAAAUUUCACCGGUAGUACAAAAUUCUUAUCUCAUCAAAGAUUUGCACGGAAAAGAUGGCGAUCUGAUGUUUCAGAGUCCUGCCUCCUAGAUGUACCAUAUGCUUAGCAAAAGGAAAUAACAGCAGUCAAGUUCUACCAGUCAUCUAAAUUUUGAAUCUAGAACAAUAAUUCAGCCACAUCCAGAAAACAUAAACAUGCAUUUCUGUAAUUGUUUUUAAUGGUCAAGCAUCCAACUGGAAAAAUUACAUUUAAUGAUGUCAAAGAAACAACCUUGGAUACACUUUUAUCAUAUCCGGAUUCAAAGUUCAAUUUGCUAGCAACCUAAAGCGUGUAACCCAAUAUUGGCUAUAUUUUACCCUGCUAGAAGUCAAACUUUAUUGCACACUUAAAGUGGAAUUAGUCCAUUUAGUGCUUUAGGAAUUAAAACCACUAUUUUAGCAUGUUAUCAAUACGAAAAAUCAUUUAAAUCAGCUUGAGCUAUCCAGCAAAAUGACAUCAUUUAAGCAAGUCAGUAAUCACAUUCUGUCCACGUUAAUAAGUGAUAUAAUGAAGCAGUAUCAACACAGGCUAUUUGAAGAUCCCAAAUGAGCAGUAUUAAGACAUCACACCCAUUGAGACACGUGCAUCUUUGUAGAUGUGCGAGACACAUGAUCGGUGAUGCAUCAUGUUUAGUCAACCUACCACCCACUAUGCAACCAAAUCCUACAAUUAUGUAUACCUUUGGAAUUGGAACACUUAAGGACAGGGCCUAUUCCUUAAGACCAAGUUAGGAUAAGAGGUCAAAAGAAUAGAUGCUCAUGUAAAAGGAAGACAUGGAUUAAAGGACAAAACAAAGGACAUACAGGAAAGGAUAGCAAGGCAUUUGAGAAUUGAGCUAAGCCAAUUAUGCUACCAAGCAAGCUAGACAUUGCAUUUAAAAUAACAUUUCGUGGACCAUGCAUAAUAAAAGGGAUCUAAUUCAUCCUAACACAAAAUGUCAAAGAACCAUGGUUAGUAACCCAGCCAACCAUGUGGAUACAACUUUCACAAGCAUUUUACAAUACAAGAGAUCAACAUGAUGUCACAUGCAAAUUGCAAAUUCUCACUCUAGUAAGCUGUAAGCAUCCAAGAUGAAGAAGAGUAAUCCAUGAGAAGAAGUAACUUUGGUGGAAUUGACUUCUUAUCUCUGGUUCCUAACUACUCAGUCAACUCUGCCUUCCAUCAUUCUAAGAGCCUCUCUAGAUCAUAAUGAAGGCAAAACAUUGCAAGAAUUCUCCCAAAGACAUCUAUUUGAUUGAUUGAGUUCCAUUUCCUUGAUCUCUACAACUUGAAUGUCUAAACCAACAAAUUUAAAAUUGGCUGAGUUCAGUCAAAGGACAAUUUAUUUGGUCCACAUUGCAGGGAAGAGAAUUUCUGGAAGACAUCCGUCAUGAUGAUGCUACACUGAUAUCUAAAAUCUGCUUAAUAGUGGUGGUCUUCCCAUCUUCUAACGCGUCAAUUUCGAUUAUAUACCCUGAUGUAUAAGAAUCUGCACAAUAAUGCUGGUCUUCCCAUCAUUCAACGUGUCAUGUUAGACAAAGUUAACCUGUAAGCUAUUCAAGUGAUACAUCAACCUCUAUGAAAAUUCAUAA
rnacentral:misc_RNA from 1 species